AGGAGCCGUAUGAGGUGAAAAUCUCACGUACGGUUCUGUAAUAACACCUCGGCGGGAAUGACUGCCUUCGUACCAUAAACCAGCAUAUAGGGGGUUGCCCCGGUUGAUGUGCGGACUGUGGUGAGAUAUCCCAAU
rnacentral:ncRNA from 1 species